ACAUGUAUCCAUGUACUAUUUUAGUUCAGUGGUUCCCAACCUCGGGGUCAGGCCCCUCCAAAGGCUCACUAGAAAA